GGAAUUACUGGGCGUAAAGCGCGCGUAGGUGGUUGUUAAGUUGGAUGUGAAAGCCCUGGGCUCAACCUAGGAACUGCAUCCAAAACUAACUCACUAGAGUACGAUAGAGGGAGGUAGAAUUCAUAGUGUAGCGGUGGAAUGCGUAGAUAUUAUGAAGAAUACCAGUGGCGAAGGCGGCCUCCUGGAUCUGUACUGACACUGAGGUGCGAAAGCGUGGGUAGCGAACAGGAUUAGAUACCCUGGUAGUCCACGCCGUAAACGAUGACAACUAGCUGUUGGAAGACAACGUCUUUCAGUGGCGCAGCUAACGUUUUAAGUUGUCCGCCUGGGGAGUACGGCCGCAAGGCUAAAACUCAAAUGAAUUGACGGGGACCCGCACAAGCGGUGGAGCAUGUGGUUUAAUUCGAUGCAACGCGAAAAACCUUACCUACUCUUGACAUACUUGGGAGCUCUUGUAAUGAGAGUGUGCCUUUGGAACCAAGAUACAGGUGCUGCAUGGCU
rnacentral:rRNA from 1 species